CGCAGCCAUCGUCUCCUUUGACUUCACCGCCAUCGUCUCCAUCGACUUCGCCGCAAGACAAUCUGCCACCGCCUCCGCCGAUUUUGCCGGAAGACCAUCAGCCGUCGCCUAGACCUACUUUGAGAAAAUAGAUGACAGCACUGUAACUUAAUAUUACACAGAACAUUGAAGAGGACUUUGAUAACCGACCUUCAAAAAAAGAAAAAAAUUCUGAAUCAAGUGUUCUGGAGCCAUCACCUAUGUCACCAACUAUGUCAACAUGUACUCCAGUUUCUGAGUGUUUUGAAUCGAUUGUGCCAAAAUCAGAUAAUCAGAUAGAUUGUGGUCCAUUGCCAUCACCUCCAUCCCCAUCUAGCUCGACAUUAUCAAGAACAUCGGUCGAGCCGUACAAUGGCGCCUGCAGCGGUUACACCAGAGGUACCUGCUCUUGCUACGAUCCAUGGCUUACGUACUGUACUUCUAUAGAUCCUUUUUGGCAUAAUGAGCUAUGUGCAGGCUCUCCAUUUUGGCUAUAUUCAUUUUCCGUAACAAUGCAUGUAUUCGGAUAUCAUUUUGAUAUUCCCUUAUGUUGAUCCAAGUGCGCUCAG